AUUGAACGCUGGCGGCAGGCCUAACACAUGCAAGUCGAGCGGAAACGAGAAUAGCUUGCUAUUCGGCGUCGAGCGGCGGACGGGUGAGUAAUGCCUGGGAAAUUGCCCUGAUGUGGGGGAUAACCAUUGGAAACGAUGGCUAAUACCGCAUAAUAGCUUCGGCUUAAAGAGGGGGACCUUCGGGCCUCUCGCUUCAGGAUAUGCCCAGGUGGGAUUAGCUAGUUGGUGAGGUAAAGGCUCACCAAGGCGACGAUCCCUAGCUGGUCUGAGAGGAUGAUCAGCCACACUGGAACUGAGACACGGUCCAGACUCCUACGGGAGGCAGCAGUGGGGAAUAUUGCACAAUGGGCGCAAGCCUGAUGCAGCCAUGCCGCGUGUAUGAAGAAGGCCUUCGGGUUGUAAAGUACUUUCAGCAGUGAGGAAGGAUGUGUAGUUAAUAGCUGCAUACUUUGACGUUAGCUGCAGAAGAAGCACCGGCUAACUCCGUGCCAGCAGCCGCGGUAAUACGGAGGGUGCGAGCGUUAAUCGGAAUUACUGGGCGUAAAGCGCAUGCAUGUGGUUUGUUAAGUCAGAUGUGAAAGCCCGGGGCUCAACCUCGGAACCGCAUUUGAAACUGGCAGGCUAGAGUGCUGUAGAGGGGGGUA
rnacentral:rRNA from 1 species